ACAAAAACACAAAAACCAGUGGUUGAUUUUCUAUCACAACUUCCAGCCCAAUCUGCAUCAGAGAAUCCAACUAUAGAAUUAGAAUUGUUAUUUUUCAUCCAGAUUCCCUGUCCUGGGGUACCCUUUAGGUAUUUGAGAAUCCUAUCUAUAGCUUCUAGGUGACAGGUGCGUGGGGCAUGCAUAAACUGGCUCACCAUACUUACUGCGAAUGAUAUGUCAGGUCUAGUGAUAGUGAGAUAUAUUAACUUUCCUACCAAACGUUGGUAAUGUCCUAUGUUGGCUAGAGGUUUUCCAUCUUCAAUAUUGAGUUUGACUUUGGUUUCCAUAGGAGUGUAGGCAGGUUUAGCCCCUAAUUUUUCGGUUUCUUUUAAUAGAUCGAGGAUGUAUUUUCUUUGACAUAGGAAUAAACCUUUAGUAGAUUUUGCCAUUUCUAUGCCUAGAAAAUAUGAGAGCUGCCCGAGGUCCUUAAUAUCAAACUUUUUCUUUAGACUUUGUUUGACAUCCUUAAUACCCUGAUCAUCAUUUUUCUGUUAUUAUGAUAUCGUCAACAUAGACAAGAAUAAUGACAGUGUGUGUGAGAUUGUGUUUAACAAACAUGGAAGAGUCAAAAUCGCAUUUAGUAAAACCAAUUUUUAAUAAAAAGAGGCUUAGUUUGGCGUACCAUGCUCUCGGAGAUUGUUUAAGCCCAUAGAUGGCCUUUUUUAGCUUACAUACCAUGGGGGCAUCUGUGGCUGAUUUGUGACCAAGGGGGAGAGUCAUAUAAACUUCUUCUUCUAGAUUUCCUUGUAAAAAGGCAUUCUUCAUGUCCAUUUGGAAUAGGCUCCAUCCUUGAUUAGUUGUAAUUGAGAGAAGGAUUUUGACCGUGUUCAUCUUGGUGACUGGAGCAAAUGUCUCUUGGUAAUCAACUCCGUAAGUCUGAGUGAAGCCUCUAGCGACGAGUCUGGCCUUGUAUCUCUCAAUGGUCCCAUCACUAUUAUACUUUAUUUUGUAUAUCCAUUUGCAUCCAACUGGUUUCUUAUUUGUAGGAAGAGGAACAAUAUCCCAAGUGUCAUUCUUUUCUAGCACUUGAAGUUCGUCUUUCAUGGCCUUACACCAUUUAGGAUUGGUGUUGGCUUCAUAAAAGUUGGUUGGCUCAGGAUGGGAUGAGAUCUGGCUUAAGUAGCUAUGGUAUUGACUUGAUAUGUUAUCAUAGGAAAUAGAACUUUGGAUACGAUACGAUACCGAAUGAGAUACAUAAUCUCUUAAUUUCAGGGGGGGCGAGUUUGACGAGUGGACCUUCUCAAGGCGAUUGCUUCCUCCUGAGGUUGAGGUUGGCUGUCACUGAUUUGAGAUUGACUUUCAGAGGUUGUAUCUCCAAUUGUAUUGUCUCCCCCUGAAGGAAUCGACCUUGAGACAGUAGACAGCUCCCCCUAUAUAAAAUCCUGAGUAGGGCUGCUAAGAGAAAAAUCAGAGUUAGGCGGAAAUACUAGUGAGCAAGGCCCCUGAGGAUUAUCAUGAGUUUGGGUGGUGUAAUAAGGAAUUGUCUCAAGAAAUGAGAUAUCACGAGAGAUGUAUGUUUUAUGAGUAUAGGGAUCAUAACAUUUAUAUCCCUUUUUAGUGGAGGAAUAUCCUAAAAACAGGGUCUUGACAGAACUUUUAUCGAGUUUGUGUUGGCGGUUUAUGUGAACAUAACAAACACAGCCAAAGACUCGGAGGUGACUUAAAUCAAUUUUCCUACCUUUGAGAACCUCUAGGGGACUCAAAUGUUUUAAAAUCGCAGUGGGAAGUCUAUUGAUUAGGUAGGCAGCAGUUAAAAGGGCAUCGGACCAAAAAAUCGAUGAAACAUUAUUUUGAAAAAGGAGAGUCCGAACGACAUUGAGAAGGUAUCUAUUUUUUCAUUCAGAAAUACCAUUUUGUUCAGGAGUGUUGAUACAAGUGGUUUGAUGAAAAAUCCCUUUUUGUUUAAAGAAUGUAGAAAAGUUUUGGUUUAUGUAUUCUGUGCCAUUGUCGGAGCGAAAAAUUUUCAAAGUAGCAUUAUAUUGGUUUGUAUGAAAUUAUAGAAUUCUUGGAAGCGAGAAAAAACUUCAUUUUUUCCUUUUAGUAAAUACAUCCAGGUAGUACGAGUGUAAUCGUCAAUGAAAGUGAAAAAAUAUUUAAAGUGAUUAUAGGAAGUAACAGGGGCAGGUCCCCAAACAUCUGAGUGAAUUAAAUCGAAUGCUUUUUCAGAUACACUGGAGGAUAAAGAGAAAGGCAAUCGAGUGUGUUUAGAAAAUUUACACACCUCGCAAUUGCUGGAACUUAAAUUGUAAUGAAAUAAUUUAUUUAAAACAUUGUCGGAUGGAUGCCUUAACCGCUGAUGCAUUAACAUGCCUUGGUUAGGGUUUGAUGAUAAAAAAUAUUUCUUGGGAGGAGCAUGAAAGUAGUAGANNNNNNNNNNNNNNNNNNGAUUCGAUCUGAAAAGUGACUGAGGUGGGUGAGAAGAUAACAUUGCAGUUUAAAUCACAAGUAAUUUUACCCACGGAUAAUAGAUUGGAUUUAAAUGCAGGCAAAUAUAAAAUAUUUUCAAUAUGUGAGUUAAAUAAAUUUGAAGUGCCAUAUCCCUGAAUUUUGACUUUUUCUCCAUUGGCAACAGUCACAUGGUGAGAAGGAGAAACCAAAUUGAGCUUGGUUAGGUUUUUUGGAUCCCAGGUCAUGUGAUCCGUUGCCCCUCAGUCAAUAAUCCAGAAAUUUUGACAAGGUUUUGAAAAAUUUUGUAAGGAAUUUAAAGCAGUGAGAACCGAACCUGACCCGUCGGGUUGAGUUGACCCAAACCCGUUAGGUUGGAGGACUAAGGCCUGAAAUUGGGCCAGCAUUUCGGCCACUUGGGCCUGAUGCUUCUGCUGGGCUUGAAGUGCCUGGUGGGCCUGCUGGACUGGUUGGGCUUGGAAGGCCUGUUGAGCUUGCUGGGCCUGGUGGCUUGGGCCGGAUUCGGAGGAGUCGGGUCGGGUCCAAGGUUGGCCCGGUCGGGUUGGUGUAACCCUAGGGAGUCGGGUCGGGGCGUCAUAUAACAAUCUACAUAUGACGCCCAGCCCCCGAAUUCCUUUUUCUCUCUAGGGUUCCCUUCGGGCCUUCUUCUUCCUCCUCUUCUCACCCCUUCGCCGCUCCCCCUUUCCCAAGCUCGGGGUGAAGGUGCCAGCAACGAGAGUGACUGUGACCCUGCUUCUUGCAGUGGUCGCACCGCUCGCUCGUGCUUACCUCUCCCCCUGUUCUGUUUCUUUCGGUGAGAUCGGGGCGACGCGAUGCGAAGGCUUGGUUUUCCACGAGUUCAGUAGAGGCCGAGGGAUUCAUAAGGUUCCUUCGCGUCUCCUCGCGCUGGACUGUUGCCAUAACAGUGUCGAUGCUCGGUAGUUCCGGGGACAGGAGGAUUUGAGAUCUCAAGCUCUCGUAGCUUGAGUCCAAUCCUCCCAGGUAAGUGAAUACUAGAUCAUUGUUGGCUCGUUUUUGAAUUUCUGUCGUGUCUGUUGAAGGAGGUAGGUAAGUCUGAAGUUCUUCCCACCUUGUCAAUAUUUUUGUGGCAUAUUGCGAUCCUGAUUUUGUUCCUUGUGUGAUUCUGGCCAAUUCCUGUUUGAGAUUAAAAAUGUGAGCAAAAUUUUGUUGAUGGCCAUAUAGGCCUUUUACCUUGUCCCAUAAUGCUUUUACCCUGGAAAUUUGGGGCUCCAUAGUGCUGGUAAGCAGCGACAUGACCAGGUGGUCUGUCGUCUGCCAUUCUUCAAUUUUUUCUACUUCUUCUUCUGUCAAGGUUUCUGGUCUAGUAGGUUUGGGUUUAGUCCCAGUGAUGAAUCCCAAUUUCCUUCUGCCACUAAGCCCUAUGUAGACAGCUUUUGACCACUUGAAGUAAUUUUGAUUACCUCUGAGGAUUAUAUUGGUCAAUCUGUUAUUAGUUUGAGACAUGAUGAAUUUCCAAAAAGGAAUUCUGAGAAUUUGGUUUUUGUUUGCUUGAUUGAUACUUCACAGGUUUGAAUCCUGCUCUAAUACCAUGAAGAAAAUAUAAAUGAUGAAUUUAUUGAUAUAUAAUUCUAAUUUUUACAAUUGAUUGAGUUGGUAUAUAUAUGUGCAUGUCCAACGGUAGCCUAUUCUACUUGGUUGCCUUGGUAUUUCUGUCCAACGUCCCUUUCUUUUUCUGGGAAAGGUUGGAGCGGCCUUUCCCUGCCGCAGGGAUGGUUGCUCCCUUUCUCAGAGCCUGUGAUGACCUGCCCUGCACAGGCUUUUCUGCCUGUGCAGUGUCUGAGGCCAUGCUGCUUUACUUCCUCUUUCAACAUUCCUUUUAUACAAAUAAAUUUUCUAGAUCUUUGCAGUUGUGGGGUUUUAAAUGAGUUAGGAGCAGGAAAUCCAAAGGCAGUAAUUAGGGUAGUGCUCAUCAUUUUAGUGACAGAGGCAGUUAUUCUGUAAGACUAACUCUGCAUUUGAUUAUGCGAUACAUGUUCAUGUCUCUAUCAAAUGAACCUAUGAAUAUAAUAGAAAGCUAGUAGAACUUUGCCUGUAGAAAUUGCCAAGGCAAGGGAGUGGAUAUAUGAAGGGAUAUCAUCAGCUGAUAAUGAAUUGCCUGGAACUAUAUUAAUCAAGGUUUAGCCGAAACAAAAAACAGAAUUGAGUAAAUCAGGCUUAUUUCUCUAUGAAAUUGAAGGACUGAUCAUUAAUAACCUUAUAGCCAUCAAGUUCAAAGCACACAUGCGUUUUGUAGAUUAAAAUCCUUAAAAUGGUUCAGUGGACAAAAAAAAAAAAAAGGAAAACAAAGAAACUUGUAUACUAAUAAUAUAGUGGGCAUAUAAUCUUACCAAAGAAUGCAUAGGUGUUGUUUUUGAGCUAACGCAUGUCCCAAGUAUGAGAACUGAUUGUAAAAUCAUACUGCAAAGUACAGUAAUUGUCUAAAACAGAUCACUCAAAUCAAAUAAACACAAGUACAACAUAUAAAGUAGUUUCGACAGACAUAGCACUUUGUAAAUAUUAAGCACACAGCCGAAACAUUAUUUGCAUAUAUAUAACUCUCUUUUAUCCAUUUUUCUCUUCUUUCCCUCAAGCGAUCACCUGCGCACGCUUCCUUCCUUUCUUCCUGUCGUCCUUCCUUUCCUUCUGUGCAUGCUAGAGGGUACUGCUGUACUAGCAGUGAGGAGGUGGAGGAUGGUGAUGAUGCCAAGGCGGAGGUGGCCAAUGAGGAUCGAAACAAGGUGGUGGAGGAAGACAAGGAGGAGGAGGUGGAGGAUGAUGCAGAUGUGCAAAAGGUGGAGGAUGGUGGUAAUGAUGAUGGUGAAAUGGUGGAGGUGGAGGUGGAGGAUGGUGGUGAUGGUGAAAUGGAGGAGGGAGUGGUGGCGGUGGACAGUGGCAGUGUAAUGGUGGACAGUGACAAUGUGGUGGUGGGGGAAGGGGUGGUGCACAAGGCUCUGGUGGUGGGGGUGGAGGCAUUUUUAGUUUGCUGAAACUUAGUUACGAGGAGUAUUAGAUGGAAGAAGAU
rnacentral:lncRNA from 1 species